GAUGAACGCUGGCGGCGUGCCUAAUACAUGCAAGUCGAGCGAACAGACGAGGAGCUUGCUCCUCUGACGUUAGCGGCGGACGGGUGAGUAAUACGUGGAUAACCUACCUAUAAGACUGGGAUAACUUCGGGAAACCGGAGCUAAUACCGGAUAAUAUAUUGAACCGCAUGGUUCAAUAGUGAAAGACGGUUUUGCUGUCACUUAUAGAUGGAUCCGCGCCGCAUUAGCUAGUUGGUAAGGUAACGGCUUACCAAGGCAACGAUGCGUAGCCGACCUGAGAGGGUGAUCGGCCACACUGGAACUGAGACACGGUCCAGACUCCGACGGGAGGCAGCAGUAGGGAAUCUUCCGCAAUGGGCGAAAGCCUGACGGAGCAACGCCGCGUGAGUGAUGAAGGUCUUCGGAUCGUAAAACUCUGUUAUUAGGGAAGAACAAAUGUGUAAGUAACUAUGCACGUCUUGACGGUACCUAAUCAGAAAGCCACGGCUAACUACGUG
rnacentral:rRNA from 1 species